rnacentral:misc_RNA from 1 species
GAUGAAGAACGCAGCGAAAUGCGAUAAUUAAUAUGAAUUGCAGAAUUCAGUGAAUCAUCGAGUCUUUGAACGCACAUUGCGCCCUCUGGUAAUCCGGAGGGCAUGUCCGACCGAGCGUCACUAGAACCGCCCGAGCUCCCGCCCCACACGGGGCGGGGCCCGGUGUUGGGGACCGCGGGGCAGCCUCGCUGCAAUCCCGCGGCCCUGAAAAGCAGCGGCGGCCCCAUCGCGGCAAGCCCCCCAGCGGAGUAGAACCUUACCUCGCCCGGAGGCGUCGCGCACUAGGCGGGCCCGGCCACUAGGAGGGAGAGUGCCCCGGCACAAACCCCCCGAACCCCCUUACAUACCCGGUUGGCCUCGGGUCGGACAAGAUUACCCGCUGAACUUAAGCAUAUCAAUAAGCGGAGGA